AGAGUUCGAUCCUGGCUCAGAGCGAACGCUGGCGGCGUGCUUAACACAUGCAAGUCGAGCGAGAAAGGGAACUUCGGUUCCUAAGUACAGCGGCGAACGGGUGCGUAACACGUGGGCAAUCUAUCUUCUAGCUGGGAAUAACUCAGCGAAAGUUGAGCUAAUACCCAAUAAGACCACGAAAAGCAAUUUUUGAGGUCAAAGAACGCUCUUUUUGGGAGCAUUUGCUAGUAGAGGAGCCCGCGACCUAUCAGCUUGUUGGUGGGGUAACGGCCUACCAAGGCAAAGACGGGUAGCUGGUCUAAGAGGAUGAUCAGCCACACGGGGACUGAGACACGGCCCCGACUCCUACGGGAGGCAGCAGUGGGGAAUAUUGGGCAAUGGGGGAAACCCUGACCCAGCGACGCCGCGUGGGUGAUGAAGGCCUUCGGGUCGUAAAGCCUUGUCAAGAGGAAAGAAUGUUCUCGAGGUAAAUAGCUUCGAGAAGUGACGGUACCUCUGAAGGAAGCACCGGCCAACUCCGUGCCAGCAGCCGCGGUAAGACGGAGGGUGCAAGCGUUGCUCGGAAUUAUUGGGCGUAAAGGGUGCGUAGGCAGUCUUUUAAGUCUGACGUGAAAGCCCAGGGC
rnacentral:rRNA from 1 species